GAAGAAGUCAGCAGAGAAAGUGCCCAACCAAGAGGUAAGAGAAACCAUAGAUCUUUGUUGUUUUCAGCCACUAUGAUUUGAGGAGUUUUAUUAAGAAUAAAUAAUAUAAACAAUGAAGCAUAAGAAAUGAUUGACUUUCAGGAAUGAUUUUUGGAUCACAAGCAUAAGUAACAAGCUGGCCAAGUGGUGCCAUUAACAAAGAAAGCAGAACUUGAGUAAGAGGGGAUUCAGAAGUUCCCCCGGUUGGAGAACCUCGGAUCACUCCAGAUUGAGGCAAAGUGUAAUUAGUAUGCUUUGCAAUUAACCUUGAAAGGUUCAUACUUAAGACACACACACACACACACACACACACACACACAUAUAUAUAUAUAUAUAUAUAUAUAUAUAUAUUUUUUUUUUUAAUUUGAGAAAGUAUAGGCCUUGGUUCAUUGUUCAUUAGUUUGAAUUCAUAUUAGACAAAGAAUUGAUCAUUAGCUAAGCUAUGCUUUCUAAUGUUUUGCUUUGGGUUGUUAAUUGUUGUUUAUGUAGAGGAGAGGCAGGGGAAAUGAGGAGGGCAAGAAGGCCCUAGAAGUGGACAGAAAUGGGUACAAACUGAUGUCAAGGAGAAGGGAUGAAACAGGCUGAGGAUGUGGCUUAGUGGUAGGAUGCUUGCCUGUCAUGUGUGAAGCCUUGGGUUUGAUCCCCAGCACUGAAAAAAAACAAACAAAAAAAAAGUGCUAAAUGAGAAUGGAUGGAAACAGUAGGCAGAGAUGCCUAGGACAAGGACAAACUUUGGCUUUGUUAAUCAAAGGAAGCUGUCUGUGCAAGAAUGCUCUGUCAUCCAGUCUGCUUUGCGUAUCUGAUGAAGUAUUUUUUUUAAAACAGAAUGAAUUAUCAUAAAGUAGCUUUUAUUCUUAGUACCUACAUUAAUCCUUCAGUUACUGUUGUUCACUUUUUUAAAACUUUUACUUGCGUUUUUUAGCAGAAUUUGUUCCUGUGCCAUAAUAUUUUGUUUCUUCCGUUUCUUCUGGAAUAGUUUUUGCUUCUGUGGAAACUCCUCUUCUGGCUUGGGAGCGAUUUGUUUCUUUUCAGUGAGGAUCAUCUCAUGUGACAGGGGAAGCUCACAUAUGGGUUAAUCCAGCCACAGGCACUGUAUGUCCAGUGGCACAUCUUGAGGUCUUUGUACACCUGGGUAUGCUCAGUGACCAGAGAAUCUGUAUCUAAGCCCUUCGGUUCAGCAUUUCUCUUUGCAUUUGUAAGCAUGUGUAGCAAAAUGUCAGUACAUUUUUUAAGUAAGCCAUCAACACUGUGUCCAGCCUCACUGUUUGACUUGGAUAUACUCACCAAUUCACCAAUCCACCACUGUAAUGGCAGAAUGACACAUGUUGCUUCUUUAAGGUGAAAUCUUUCAGGUUCUUGGUGGCUUUUCAGAUAUGUAUGUCCUUGAUGACCUGAAAAGUGUCAUAUUUUCUUAAAAUGAAUACAAAGAUAUGAACUGUUGAUUUGCAUGAUUUUGUGGGGUUGUCUGGAUUGAGUCUGCAUAGCAAACCAUUCUUAGAGAUCACCUCAGGCUAUUAAUAAGAAAAAGAACAGCCUGUCAUUUUUUUUUAAAGUGAGAAGAACCCAUAUGAUUUUUUUUGGGGGGGUUACAAUAUUAGCACAUUGAAUCAUAAAUGAAUUUUAAAAAGUCUUUGCUAAAUAAUAUUUAUAAGUGUUUUUUUUCAGAAAAUUUUAUCUAGCAUACUAAUAUCAGUUGCAAUGUUGUUAUAGCCACUCGUUUUAUGUAACUAUAAGAAAAUUUCACUUUUGCAGCAACAAAGUCACAGAAAUGAAUUAUUAGAGAUUAAUAUGUCACCAAUUUCCAAUAGGCUGGAAAUGCAUGCCCAAUGCCCUGGUUUUUUUCCCCCAAUCACCAUGAGAUUUAGUACAGAAAAGAGAAGAUCCCUUAUGAAUGAUGCAUUUCUAUUAGAAUAGAAAAUUCCAGUGUCAAGAAGAGAUAAAAUGAACUUGUGCAUUAUCUCCCUUGCACAAAAGAUACCUAUCUUGGCUUGGAUAUUGACUUUGGUGUUCAAAGUGUACAGUUUAUACAUUAGUUUGACCACAUAACCUAAGAGAAAAAACUCAUGAUAUAUCCAAAGCUAAAUUUAUCUGGAACCGUUUCCAAAGAUAAGAUAAUGUUAAUAAAAGAGGGAAGAUAAAUUAAGAAAAUUAAUAAUAUAUUUAUUUGAUUUUUAAACAGGAGGGGAAUAUAACAUCACUUUAGUUUUCUUUUGAUUUCCUUUAACAUGCACACACAAACUAUGGAAUACUCAGUUAUGAAAUUAUUACAUUUGUCAGAAAAGUGACUUUAUCAUGUGUUGAAGAAAUACUCAAAGGAACAUAAACUUCUGUUUUCUUCCCUAAAGAAAAAUAAAGUAAUGUGAUGUAAAAAAGAGUGUUCCCAUUCAAGCCUUAUAAGAAUUGACCUUAGCCCAUAUUUGUCCCUGUGAAUUUUCCUUACAAAAUCAUAAGCUUAAUCAUAAGCAGAGCAUACCCUUCCCUUGACUUUACAUGUCUGAUACUACCUAGUACAGAGCCACCAACACCUGACAAGAUCAGUGAAUGUUGGCUGAAGUCACCAUUUUGUUCCUCAAGUCUUAGCUCAGGGCUUAUAGGCUUGCAAUUAUUGCAGUAAAUGUGAGGAUUACCGUUUAGGCACAAUCCUCCCCUUUAAAGGACUGAAAGCUCUCUUAGGGCACAGAAAGUGUUCAUGCAAGUCACUGCUUUACUCCCAGGGACAAGUGCUGGAGUAUGGCAGCUGCGUAGUAUUUCCAGCACAAUUAGCAUGUAUGGACAGAUAAAGAAAGACCUGCAGUGCCCCACCUCUCUUGGGGGAAGGAAGGACACAGACACAAGAGGUGCUUCUCUCUUUGCAAAUGGUAACUCACAUCCUACCACCAUCUUUCACAUUGACAAAAUUAGUGACCACAUUAUUCUGUUUGCAAUUCUGAGUCCCAGAAAAGUGUGUGGGUUUCACUAUCCUUGGAUCUUUCAAUGUUGUAGAGUGUGGUUGCCUAGUAAAAUACAAGAUACUCUGUUAAAUUUGAACUUCAGGUACGCAAUAAGCAUACUAAGAAGUGUAGUAAAUCAGAAAUUCAAAUUUCAUUGGGCUUCCAGUGGUUUGAUUUGCUAAAUAUGGCAACCAACCAUAUUUAAAGCUAUUUUCUGAACCGAACUGGGAAGACUCUAUCUGGCCCUGAAAAUUAUCUGCAGGUUCAGGGGGCUUUCUCCUCUGAGUUCUCCUCUCCAUGAAGGUCAAUGCCCAGUGUGGAAUCAUGGAGUGGAAAAAGUUCACUCUUAGAGUCCCAAAGUCCUCUUUUCAGAGAAGCAUUCAGAAAACUCCCUUGCAUCUUAUUUCCUUUCUGACCACAUUCAAUCUCAUAAAAAUACAAACAAACAAACAAACAAACAAAAAACACUAUAUCACACAUUCAUUCCUACAUGGCCAACAAAGUUAAUGUUUUACCCCUAUCAGAGGCAUUUAUACUGCAAUUGGGUACCAUAAUAAUAAUUGGCAAGUAAUUAUGAUUGUGGAAUUUGAGAAUUUCUCUAAAUUGUUACUGGAGGUAGUUUUAAGGAUAAAAUUAUUUCUCUUCUCUUAAAAGUAAACAUUUAACGUUAAACUGUUUGUCAGCUUUUCAUUGACGUGACCAAAAUACCUGAUGUAAACAACUUCUAAGAGAGAAAAUUUAUUUUGACUUAUAGUUUCAGAAGUUUCUGUCCAUGGUUGGCCAGCUUCAUUGCUAUGGGGCUGAGAUGAGGCAGAGUAUCAUGAUGGAAGGCUGUAUUGGGAGAAAACUGCCCAGCUCAUGACAACCAGUAAGCAGAGAGAGGAGGAAGGGGUCAGGAACAAGAUAUAGUUCCCAAAGGCAUACCACCAGUGGCGUACUUCUUCCCACAAUACCUAUAAUUUCGGCCAUCUCUCAAUAAUCCCUUCAGAUAACAAUGAAUUAAUCUACUGAUGAGAUCAGAGUCCUCAUGAUCCAAUUACAUCCUAAAAGCCCCACCUCUGCACAUUGCUGCGCUGGGGACCAAGUCUCAACACAUAAGCUGUAGAGGGACAUUUCAUACCCCAACCAUAACAGUGUUUGAUUACUAUAUCCCUCCUGUCUGAGUACAGGUAAAUGUGGUGUUCAGAUUCCAGGAUCCUGGUGGAUACUAAGGGGAAAAGGACUACUCAGUUGUUCAAGACUCUUUACUGCACAACAAGAGAAGAAAACCAGAGCCCUAACUUAAAAAUAAAUAAACACAUUCAUGGAGUACAUUUCCUUUGUUAGUGUUCCUGUUGCUAAGUGUUCUCACAUGUCGUUCUCGGAAAACUCCUGUGAGGUGGAUCAUAUUAUGUACAGAUUUUAGAUGAUGUAAUCAAAGUUCAGAGACAUUAAGUGACUUGCCCCAAGCUAGAGAGAUUGUAAAUGGCAGGGCUGUGAUUCAAACUCAGGUUUUUUGACUUUAAGGCCAGUGAUCUUUUUGUCAUACCAUAGUGGCCAGCUAUUCUGUAUCCCCCUGCUUGGGAAGCCCCAGGUUCCCCUCGUAGCUAUGGAGUGUGGGUUUGGGGUGUGGUUGUUUAGUAGUAAAUGCCCCGUGGUUAAAGGACUUGAUUGCAAAGUUUUGAGAAAAAAGCAAUAAUGCCAGAUUCUUUCAGUGUCACAGAUGGGAAAAUGAUUCAGAAUCAUAUGCUCUUGGGCAACCAAAUUUGGUUGCAAAUUUUUCUUUCAAGAAGUUGAUUGCUCUUUAUCCAUGAGUAAAGCCACAGCAGAUGAGAGAUCAUGACACUACCAUUGAGAUCCAUUUGCAAGGCUGUGUUAUUGGGCAGUUAAAGGGGAAGUGAAGCAGAUUCAUGAUGUAAGGGAACUUCGUCUUUGGUGCCCUUUCUUUGACCCUUAAUUUAAGACAAUUUCUUUCUCCUUUGUUGUCCUAGUAGUAUAGGGGCCUGGUUGGCAAUUUAUAAGGAAUCUGAAAGAUUGUUCUACUAUCUUGUUAAAUCAAGAGGGCUCAAAAUGGAACCUCUUCUUGGGAUAUAAGAAUUUUUAUAGGGAGUAUAUGCAAAAGGAUUGAAGAAUUGAAUUUCUAAAUGGUGGUAUCCUAAUAUACAUAAAUGAAUAGGUAUUUGGGGAUUUAAAAAAAAAAAGCCGUAUGACCAGACAAGAGUGAUUGUAUAGUAGAAUUAGAUAUUUUAUCUUAAGGUUAAUAUUAUUAAAUUAAUAAGUCAAAGUUAGGUCCCUAUGAUUUAAAGGUUUUAGAAAUAUGGUUAAAACAAAUAAGCAAAAUUUAAAAUAUGGACUUAAAUGCAAAAAGUCAAUGAAUGUUGGGAUGAAUUUUUAUCUGUUGGAAAUUUUCCCAUUUGUAAAAUAGGAAUUCAGGGAUCAUGGUUUAAUAUGCUUCAUCUUUAUGAAAUAAAUAAGAAAGACCAAACUAUUGGAUUUGAUGCAGAAAUUAAUGGGGGGGGGCAUUUUAAUGCUGGAUUUCUUGAAAGAAAAUUAUCUGGAGACACUGGAAUUUUGUACUGUGGGAUAUCACUUAACUGGGAUGUGCUAAAGAGCCAAGCUGGGGAGUCACACAGACUUUUGUUCUGAGGUUGUAUCAGUUAUUUAACUUCUUUAUACUGAAGUUUUCUACUCUGUAAAAUAGGAAGAGAAUUAUAUAACUGUGUUAUUUGAAGAAAAUUCUAAUAAUCAAAUUGAGAUGUUAUUUUAGAAAUACCCAGUAAAUGGACACUUAAGAAUUCAGUGAAAUUCUAAACUGCUCCCUUUGCUUCCUCAUUUUAAUAAACAAUUUGUAACUAAUCCUGCCUAAAUAUAAUAAAGUGUUUCUAUAGUUUCCAGAUCAAAGCCAGGCCUUCUAACAGUGAAAUGAAAGUAGGGUUCAGCCAAAAACCAAGCCUAUGAAAAAUUGUGUGUGGUUGAAUAGUCUUAACCCUAAUGUAUCUGUACUAUGAUUUCAUAUUGAGUUGUGAAAUUGGCAUAUUUAUCUGGGAUACAGAGGAGGAAUCAAUUCCAUGGAACAUAAGUCAAAAACAUCCAGUAGGCAAAGCUGUUUAUAUUCCAAGUGUGGACUCACAACGUAAAUUUUAAUUCUUCAAUCAUCAUGUAUAUUAUUAUAUAUGCUAUAAUAUAAUAUACAUGAUAUAGAUUAUAACAUAUACACUGAUAUGCAUUUAUAUAUUAAUAUAUUGUAUAUAUGAAUAUAUUAUACAAUUAUAUAACGUUAUGUAAUUAUAUAUAACUGAUAUAUACAUAAAACAGAUAUAUAAAUUCAAGAAACCUCACUAAGCAUGCUUUUAUUGGCAGCAGCUUGUAUUGACGUAUUAAUAGCAAUAAUGAUAGCCUAUUUCCUGAAUGGAAGAAACCCUUUUGGUACUUUGCCAAGGUCCUGAUGCUUAAAACGGUAGAGCAGGGGGGUGAGGAUGCAUUUGACAGAAUGAACUGGUGAUCCAUGGCAAAUCACUGUACUUGGUGAAAUAUGUACCAAAAAAUAAGAACCACUGGACAUGUACUAUCUUUAUGGAUAGUUUCUAUCUCUUGAAAUAGAUCAAAGCAAAACCAAGAUGCUGAAAAAGAAAAUGAAAUCAUAGGAUUUGAAGGCCUGGUGAUGUAGCACCUUGAAGCUGUUUUGAGGACUUUGCCUUUUACUUGGAGUGAGAUGAAGAAUCAUCGAAGGGUUUUCAACAGAAAAGUGUCAUGAUCUGACAUGUUUUAGAAUAGACUAUAAUGAACAAGAACUGAUACAGGCAAUUUUGUUAGGAGUCUCUUAAAUUAGGUAGGUGAGAAAUUGUGUUCUUGGACCAGAGUGAUGGCAGUGGAGGUAAGAUCAUGAAAUUAUUUUGAAGAUAGAGCCAGUAGGGUUUUUUAUUGGGUUAAGUAUGAGAGUAAAAGAGAAAUGAAGGAUAAUCAUAAAAUUUCUUCCCUAAUUCAACAAAGGAUGUUGACUCUAACUGAGAUGGGGAAAUCUGUGAAGAAGUAAAAUUUGGGGAAGAGUAUAGGGAAUAAAAAAUGUGAUUUUAGUCUUAUUAAAUUUGAGAUGCUUAUUGAAAUUUUAACUGGCAAGUCAAGGAGUGAUGGAUAAAUAAAUUGGGGUGAUGAGACAUAAAUUUAUAAUUGUCUAUGAAAUAAGACAUCAAACAAAAUAAGAUACUCAAAGAAUAAGAGAAGAUCUUAAGACUUAGCCUUCAGACUCUCUUACAUCUAAUAAGCUGAUUUGGAGGGGCUUCUGAAGAAGAUUGGGAAGAAGUGGUCAGUGGGGAAGAAGAAUCAAGUGAGAGUUUCAUCCUAGAAACCAAGUGAAGAAAGUGUUUUAAGAAGCAGAAAUAGAUCAACUCUAGCAAAUGUUGCUAGUCAGAGAACUACAAUUAUUAGGCAAUGUGCAAAUCACUGGUGGGUUUGACAAGUUGUUAAAACUGGAAGAGUGGAAACAAAAAGCCUCGUCCUUAACCUUUGCAAGUUCUAGAACAAAAGUACAAUUUGAGGUCAACAAAUUGUUUAUCUAAAUUUUUUAAAUGGAAAAUCAAGAUAGUAAAUAGCAGACAUCUUGUGACCACAGGCAAUUAACAUGACAGAAAAGCCAAGAAAAUAGCAGAAACAAUGGCCUUGAAGUAAUUUAACUACUAAACCAAGGCCAGCAGCCCCAGUCUUUCCACCAACCUUAGCAAGAAAGAAGGACCAGUUCUCACCUCCAUUGCUACCUUGGCAAACUCCUGAAGGCACAGUGUGGGUCUGUACUGAUCUCAUCCUAAGUGUACACACACAGACAGCAGCCUUGCCAGUGGGUUAAAAUACAAGCUGCUUGGCUUUGGGGGGCCUUGAGUGUUUGUGGGAGUUGUUUGGGAACAGUUGCCUUGGGACCCAUAACAUGGAAGAAGACAUGAAACCUGUAGCAGGUGAGCUGGGGUGCAUCCCCACCCCCAGAGAGAAAGGGGAGCCUCAGAUACUUCUGUGGUCUAGAGUGAGCUCCCAGUCCUUUCUGGGCAAUCCUAAUCUCACACUGUAAGGUUUCUAUUAUUUGUGGUGGAAUAAAUUCUGAUUCAUAGGCAUUUGAUAAGUAUUCAUUACAAGUCUGCCUAUAGAAAAUGGCAUGACAGAAUGACAGGACAGAAUAUGACAUGACAGAAUAUGCAUUUACAUUAUGUAUAAUAUGGUAUAUAAAAGCUAUAAAAGUAAUGUCCUUAGUAGGAUUUCAUGUCUAUAGGUAUGUAUGGAAUAUAUGUAUGCAUGUGUGUAUUGAGCAUGUGUCAAGAAUAUAUAGGCAUAUGUACUGAGAAAAAUGUUUACAACAUUUUGUAAACUGUUACAAGAACAGUUUACAAAAUGAAAAUGGUGAUGAUCUCUGGGCUAUAUGAUUUUUCAGAUAGCUUUUGUUGUCUUAUUCAUUUUUCUUGAUUUGAUUUUUUUAAAUGAUUACAUUAAUUUUAGGACUAGCAGUGAUUAGAAGUUUUAGGAAGGAGAACAAAUGGAAUAUAGAUGAUUAUGAUUAAUAGAUAAGGUCAUACUAUAUGACUUAUCCACAUAUGAAAAUAAAACAUACUUACCAGACUUUUCCCUACGUUUUUUUUUUUUGGUGUGGAAAAAAAAAAACGUUGUAAGUACAUGGUUAUAGUUUUAUGUUUCUUAACCAAACUGAACUAUUUUAGCACAUAUCAAUGUUUUUCAAUUUAUUUUUUGUUAAUUUUCUCAUAUACAUUUAGUCUUAAUCUCUACUCCAACCUCAAAAUUUUAAUACUAGACAUAUACUUGGUUUAUGUGCUUUUGCCCUUUGAAGGUCCAUAGACUAUUGUAAUACAACGGGUUUUUUCAUUGUUGUUUUGCCUCUUUGGGGGUAAUGUCAACCCUGUUGAGAAGGCUGAUAUCAGCCAUGAACAUUUCAACUGUCUUGCCAUUAAGAAAAUGCUCAAAAGAGGGGGAAUGUACUUCCUUUUUAUCCUUCAUACAGUUGUCUUCAUACCUUUUCUUCCAGUAUAACACUUUGCUUCUAGCAAACACUUGAAGCUUUAUUGAAUGUCUAAGCACUAAAAUAUUAGUUCAGCUUUAAUCUAAGAAGCUAUAUCACCACCAGCUCAUUCCAAAUUUCAACUUCUUAAGCCUGCAGAAGACACCCUUCUCUUUAAGCCCCAAAUCUUAUUUCAAGACUUCUUUCCAAAUUCCUGCUCAAAUCUCAUAUUUUGCAUUCUCCCUACCAGUGUUUACUGAGUAUCACAGGAAGUUAUUACUUAUUCCACAAAUCCACAGAGAUUUGUGCUUGCCAGGGCCAUUUCUGAUGAUGGCUCUUCAUUCCUUUGCUCUCUGCAUCUUGCUGCCCCCUAACAGUGCCUCUGUCUGCUUCCCCUCCCUUCCCCCAGUACUUAAUUCCAAUCAUAAAAUGACACUGGGUUGUGGUUUUAGCAUAGCCUUCUUAAUGCCAAGGACAUCCCAGGAAUUAUAAUGCAGACCAGAACUUGAUACUGUUGCAGCGACAGUGGUCACUACUCAAGGCCAGGUUUCCAGAGACAGUGUGCUCUACUGGGUGACUCUUCUGAGGCCCAACACAUUGCUGGGGCCAGUGUCAGACAAUCCUCUUCAGGUAUCUUCUUCCUUCCCUUCCUCUUUGGGUAUUGCCAGAGCCCAAAACUUUUCUGCUUUCAGCCUAACCUAAAGGAAGGAAAACAUCAGCAUAAAUAACCAAACAGAAAAACCAGACAAAUGUAUGAUUGUCCUUGGGCCAUUUUAGGCCUCAGAUGAAGACUGCUUUUUAUAUCAUGGUGCAAAUGGGCUAAAGGCUCAGUCUGAACAUGUCUGCAUUCAAAUCCUUCAUUGAAACAGAACUUUUGUGAACACAAAGUCUAACUCUACAUUUCUUCCAUCUUGUGUUCACUGAACAAAUAUUUAUUAAGUGUUGACUCUGUGCCAGGUACUCUGCCAAGUAUUCAGGGUACCUGGUAAAUAAUACAGAUAUGUCCACUGUCCUCAUAGAACUUAUAGUCUUAUUUGUCCCUUCCUUAUAAAUUAGAGAGCCUGUCGUAAGAACCAAGCCCAAUUUUUACUCAAAAAUGAAGAAACCACUUACUCAACUCCACUGUUCAGGAUAAGACACCAUCUCUCACAUUAGAAAGUGCUUCCUUGUGGUGUUAGUAGUGAGAACUCCUUAAGGGAUUAAUCUCUAAUUAUAUCAGUAAUAAAUAGCUUAGUCUAAGCAAAGUGUUUUUUGAAUACAAGGUUAUAGGAGAGACUACAGAGGAAAUAUCUGAGAGCUUAAACACAUAAACAUACACACACCCACAUACUCCUGAGUCAUAUGGUCAAAGAUUCAGAGAGGGUAUUAGGCAUGGGGUGGAGGGAGCAAGGAAUCUGCCAUUUAUAAAAAGUUCUGGGAAAUUCUAAUCAUCUAAUCAUCAAGAUUUGGAUAGCAAUCCAGUGGUAAGAUCAAGUGACUGUGUUUUUCAUGAUGGUCUAAGGAUUUAGGGAACCAGUGCCCCUUGAGAUUCCAUCUGUCCAUAAUUGUCCUCCUGCCUCAUUCUGAUAUAUGGCUGAGAUGCAAUUACUAUUGCUUUCUCAAGUACAGAAACUUGAUUGUCUUCCCCAGAUCAUGCACACAGUGAACCAUGGUGGAGGUCAGUGUCCAUCUUUUAUAGAAGGCCUAGAAGAAUCUUGCAUACAACACAGCAUGGGAAUUCCAGAAUUUUUGAUUAUCUAUAAGUUGCUUAUUCCUAUAUUUAGUAAAUAGUAAACUCCUAUAGACCCUUUCUUCAAUUCCUUGGUGGCAGUUUUUUUCACCAUCAUUGGAGAAGGUCAACUGUGGACACUGGAGGAAAAAGUCCCACCCCUGGUACUUUCUCUUAGUCACACAAAUUUCAGGGAUUUGGAAUUUGUCUGGAUUCUAAUUAGACUUGCCUCUGCCCAGGCUCCAGUCCCAAAAGCAAAAGAAAUGGUUGGAUUCAGACUCUGUUCAAUCUCUAGCAAGAGCCUGAAAAGUAAGUACACAUUGCCAAAACUAGGGCUGUAUUUUUUACCCAAGAGACAACAUAUUAAGAAAGUUCAGUCCUCUUGUAUACAUGUCUUGGAUAGAAUUCCUGGCCUAAAAAUAACCCUGGCAUGAUUGGGCUGUAGAGCAUCUGAUUUCUUUCUGGGCCUGGCUUCUUUCAGAAAUCACUUCAUUAGUUUCACAUGGCUUUAUCUUAGCCAUCCUGAUGAUGGCACCCGCUACACUUAAAUUACUUUUAUACUUUUCCAAUUAAAAGUGUUUUAAUCAUAAAAUAUUUCAAUAUACAUUGGGCAUUUUAACAUUGAAGUAACAUGAAUCGAAAUUAAAUUUAAUUUAAUCUUCACGAAUUAUGAUGGGUGUGCUUUUUAUAAUAUAAGGUUAAAUUAAAAAUAAAAACUAAUUCUUAUUAGAAGAAGUAAGAAGGAAGUGAUCUUGAUUUUUUCCCCCAUCAUGUAGUGUCCUGCAUUAUCCAGUAAAUGAAACUGAACUAUGUUAAUGCUGCUUGUUUUAAAAAAUAAAUGAAGACCACAUAGAACAAGAUCUAUUUAUGGAUUUUUAAAAAUGUUGAAUGUGAGGGGGAAAAUACAUUCUCAAGAAACAGUUGUCAAAAAGAAGUCUGGGCUGGGAUGUGGCUCAGAGGUAGAGCACUAGCCUACCAUGCAUGAGGCACUGGGUUCGAUACUCAGCACCACAUAAAAAUAAAAUAAAGAUACUGUGUCCACCUAUAACUAAAAAAUAAAUAUUAGAAAAAUAAGUCUACUUGUUCCUUGCUAUCAAAGGACCAGUGACAUGAUUAAGGUAAUGACAACUGCAAAUACGGGGGAAGCUGUCUCAUAAGUUAGCAAAUAUGGAUUUGAGUUUGGGAAAUCCAAAAUGCACAUUUAGAAAAACCCAUCAUUAUGAAGCAGUUUGCAGUUGCUUCAUGAUGUUACUAGGUUGCAAAACAUGUAGCACAAAGCAGAAUAAAAACACCUAAAGUUUUCACUUGGCCACUGCAAAAAUUUUGUUCCUCUUGGACACAUGAGCAUUUUGGUGAUAUAAAGUAUGCAAAAUGAAGCUGCAGUAAUCUAAAGGAUCUACACGGGGAAGAAGAAGAACAUGACCAGUGGUUUAAGUUGAUUCUGUUUCCUCUUUAUUGUUUCUUCUGAUUGCAAAAUUUGUGCAUUUCUUAUAUAAAGUGAGGAAGACAAAGCAAGUGAUGACGAGGAAAUACAGUUCUCACAAUUCUUUCCUUUUGAAAUACCCACUUUAAAAAAAAAAUGACCCCUGUUAAUGUUUUUUCAGUGAUAUCUUAUGGACAUUCUCCUACACAAUUCUUUAAAAACCUCAUUUUCUGUCACUGUUUUUAAAUUAUUACACAUAUCAUUAUUAUAAACAAUUCAAACAAUGGGCAUACAUACCCAUUAAAAAGUCUUUCAUGAUAGGGCCUGGGGCUGUAGCUCAGUGGUAGAAUGCUUGCCAAGGAUCUUGUUUAACUCUGCCAAAAAAAGAAAAAAAAAGCCUCACUUUAAAAAAAAUUUGGCAUUAUAAUUAUACAUAAUGGUGGGACUCAUUAUGCUAUAUUCAUUUAUGCACAUAACAUAAUUUGAUCAAUCUCAUUCUCCAAUACCUUUCCUUUCUUUCCCCUCUUGCUUCCCCACUCACUUGCUCUACUCUCCUGAUUUUCCUUCUGUUAUUGUUUUUAUAAAUUAAUUAAGUUUUUAUUUAUUUUUUAGUAGGGAGGAUUGAACCCAGGGGCACUUAACCACUGAGCCACAUUCCCAUCUCUUUUUGUAUUGUUUCUUUAGAGACAGGGUCUCGCCGAGUUGCUUGGGGCCUUGCUAAGUUGCUGAGGCUGGCUUUGAACUCUAAAUCCUCCUGCCUCAGUCUUCCUAGUGCAUUAUAAUUAUAUGUAAGGAUAAGUGCUAGGUAUGAUGGUGCAUGCCAGUGGCUUGAGAGGCCGAAGCAGGAGGAUUAAGAAUUCAAAGCCAGCCUCAGCAAUGUAGUGAGUGAGCUCUGUCUCUAAAGAAAAAACACAAAAAGAGCUAGGGGGUGUGGUAAUUGCCCCUGGGUUCAAUCCCCAGUACAAAAAAAAAAAAAAAAAAAGUUCUAUGUAAGCCUCACAUUCCUGAUUAACAAUUCCAAUACAAAUUUAUUUCACUUUUCAAACUGCUUAGAAUGUAUUCUUCCAGACAUUGUAUAUGUAAUCACUUUUAAAAUAAUCAUCUUACUAUGCUCUUGUUUUUUACUUGUUCACCUAAUAAAAUUAAUUUGAUGUUAAAUUGAUGACUCCCAGUGAAUCAUGCCUACUUUCCUUUCUGGGCCUGGCUUCUUUCAAAAAUCACUUCAUUAGUUUCACAUGAAUUUAUACCUUGUGCUGUCACCUUCUGCACCAUCUGGCCACAUGUCUUGCUUUGGUCAUUGGACAAUACCCAGUUUGAUGCAAGCAGAAGUUUAAUAAAAAUUUGCACCUUGGGGCUCAUCUUUUUGCUUCACUUCCUCUUGACACCCAGCUACCAUGCUAUAAGUUAGAUGGUCUAGACUUCUGGAUGAAAAGAAACUGCCUGGAUGGGAAUUGGGGUUAUACCAACUGAGAUGUGAGUGAUGUUCCCGUCCCAAGAUCAACUGUCCGCUAAAUGAAGUAUUAUGAGUGACACUGGCUACCAUUAAAAAGAACAGAGUGACACCGCUAGCCACUCCACGGAAUCCUGAAGUAUAACAAAUUCAGAGUUAAAUUUCAGUAGUUAUGCAGAGAUCAUUAACUGAAACAAUAAUAUUUCCAGUGCAUUUGUAUCUAUCUCAUUCUUUUUAAUUUCUGCUUAGUAUUCAGUUAUGGGAGUAUGCAAGCACUUUUUAAAUUAGCUUCUAUCUAAAGAUUAUUUUGCUUAUUUGCACCAAUAACAUUACAAUGGACAUCAUAUUUAACACCAAUACUACUAAAUAUCUUAAUAUACAAAUGUUCACAUAUACCUCUGAAUAUUUUCUUGGAGUGAAUGUUCGAUACCUUUGAAUCAGAGACUAGGCAGUUUUUAAAGUUACUGGUGGGUACUGCCAAAUUUUCCCCAAGAAGAGGUACAAUAUAUUUAUUUUUCAGAAUGGGCAUACCAAAGAUAAGAAGGGCCGCAUGCAAUCACUACUAAUCAGGUUGGACUCUAGCCUGUUUACUUUAGCUAAUUACUUAGUUUCAGGAGGUGAAAGACAAUUAUGAAGAAAAGGGAAAACAAACUUUCAAAGUGUCUGCUGGAAUGGUGAUCCAUCCUGAAUCAGGCAUUAUUGAAGUUGAUAUUUUUAGCAGCUCUUAACACAUUUGGAAAGAGAUUGUGAAAUUGCACAACCUCUUUGGAAGUCAAUUUUUUAAAUAUCUCAUUAAGUUCAAGGUGCAUACACCCUUUGACCCAAGACUCUAAGUGUAGUCUAGAGAAACUCAUAUGUGGGUAUAGGUAGAAAGACAUUUGCAACAGUGUCAUUUGUAAUAGUAAUCCUGUAUGUAAAUGGAAAAGUAAGAUGUUGAUAGAAGUGGACAGUGGGAAUGUUGCUACAGAUCCUUCUGUCAACAUGGGAAAAUCUCACAAACAUAAUGAUAGAAAAGAAAAAAGGAGAAAAAAGAAACCAUGAGAACAGCAGAUUGCAGAAGACUUCCUACCAUGUGAACCCAUUUAACCUUGUUUUGGAAAAAUGAAAAGACUGUGAUGUAUAUUGUUUAGGAAUGCACACCAGAUGGAGUAAAAUUAUCAACAAUGCACAGAAAUAACCUUGAAAUUUGUAAGUGGUGAUGCUGAGGGAAGUAAGGGGAAUAGGAUCAGGCUUCUGCUUUCAGAGGUUUCCAAAGUUUUCAGAUUGUGUUAUUUCUGAAGUUGGGUGGUGGAUACUUGACUUACUGUGCCUUUUUGUACACACAUUUUAUGUCAAUAUUUACAUACUUUUUUUUGUGUGUGUGUGGUGCUGGGGAUGGAACUCAGGGCCUUGUGCAUGUGAGGCAAACACUCUACCAACUGAGCUAUAUCUCCAGCCCUACAUAAAUUUCUAAAGGACAGUGUGGUGGGACAGGUAACAGAAGGUGCUGGUGUCCUGUGUGGUGUACUAUUCCUGGUGCAGAGUCAGGGGAAAUGAAGGUAGCAGCCUGGGGAAUCCCUGCCACACAUGCAGUUGGCUCCUGGGUGUUUGGUCCUUGCUGACUGGUUGUGGAAUCCCCAGUAUUUUGGAAAUAUUUAGAACAUCAAGAAAGUUUUCCAGUAGAUAGGGCAAUUUCUCACUUCCUUUAAUGUACUUCCUAAUGUCUUUGUGUCAUUAUAAUGCAUUCACGGCUCAUUUGGAAAAAUAAUGCAUGGUUUGUGUCUCUACCAGCUGAAGGGUCAAUCUUUCACCUUUCUGUAUGAGGAAAUGGUAGAAGGCAAUAUGGUGUAAUGGGCAGAACAUAAAUUAUAAAGCCAGAUCAUCUUAGAAUUAGAUCUUGGCUUCUCCUCCUAUAAGUUGCACCAACUUGGACAAGGGUUAAGUUAACUCAAGUUUUCUGAUGUCAUGAAAAUCAAAUGAGAUACCUUAUAUAAAGUGAUUAUCACAUGGGGGCUUAGUCGUAUCCUAUUUUUUCUAUAUUUUCUAUAUCCUUUUAAUGGCAUCAGUUAUCAUAGAAUUGAGUGCUUGUAUUUAAAAGCCAGAUUGUAAGUUAUACAUUGAAACCAAACCAUAUAUUGGCAGAUUAUUUGUUUUUCACCUAGCUAAACAAUUAAAAUGCUAUGCUAAAAAAGCCCAUUAGGCCCCUCUUGGAUUGUGCUAUUGAGUAAGCUGUUACUUAAUAAGGCUGAAAACUUUCCUUCAUAUGCACAGGGCAGGGUUAUUCAUUUAUAUCGGAACAGAAAUGAGUGUAUGAUUUGGUGUUUGUGCCUUCUAUCUGCAAAUUAUUUUGUAUAAUGACCUUCUUUCGAACAGCAAACUGAGAGUGUUUGAAACUAUCAAAAUUCUGGAGUUUGCCAGGCACAGUGGUAUACGCCUAUAAUUCCAGCAGCUUGGGAGGCUGGAGCAGAAGGAUCAUGAGUUCAAAGCCAGCCUCAGCAAAAGUGAAGGGCUAAACAGUGAGACCCUGUCUCUAAAUAAAAUUCAGAAUAGGGCUAGGGAUGUGGCUCAGUGGUUGAGUGCCCCUGAGUUCAAUCCCCUGCACCCCUCGUCCGCAAAAGAAAGAGACUUAACUGACUUUGCCAACACCCUCCUUUUCUUGCCUUCCUUCUCCUACCUGUGCAUCAUCCAGAGACUUCAUUCUCUAACCAUCUCACUCUCCAUUAGUCUUCCUCAACUUGCAAUGGUCUUCUGCAUUUAGUAAAGAAAAUUCAGAAUUUUAGAUUUUCCUCACCUCAUCUAAAUCUCUUCAGCUUCUACAUCACAGUUCAGUCUCUGUAUGUCACCUUCACUGCUGCUAUUCUGCCUUUAUCCCCAUUACAAAGUGGUUUGAUCUUAAUUAAUUGCCUCUAAUGGAAGUGUCAGGUAAAUAGAAGGUUAGAAGAACCUAAAGAAGGUUAAAAUUCUUUUGUCUUGACAAAUCUGAAUAGUAAUAGAGCUGAGUUAAUUGACUUUUUACAUAUGGGAUACUUACUCCAACAGAACUAUUUGGGCACAAAAGCACUAAAGCAAGCCGAGAGAGCGCAGGGAGCAGAACAGAGAGCACCUAUGAGCAAGAUGGAACAGGACACCAAUCAGAUAAACACCAUUCCAUUGAUUUGAUUUUGUUUCCAAAAAUCCUGGAAGGCUAACCCAAUCCUAUUUGGCUUAUAAACAAAGGAAAUGUAAUGCUAACAUCUCAUAGCACACACUUUUUUUUUUUUCCCAUUUCUGUAUCCUCUGGUUAGAGUAUCAUUUUGAUCUAGUUGUUCCAUUCUUCCUUGUUACUUUUUAUAGUUUACUUGGUGAACUGAAACUAUAUCUUUCAUUAUGGUAAAAAUUCCAAAGAAAACUAAUCAUCAGAUGAUCUGAAAGCAAAAUGGAAAUAAAGAAUGGCAGAUGGUUCAUUCAGCAAAACAAUGACUGAAAUCUCCACUUAUUUAACAUAAAAUAAAUUGUUUCUAAGUAAAUUCAUUUUUUAAAAAAGAUAACUGCAUUACGCACAUUAGUGGAAAUAUUUUUUAAAUAUAUAUUAAGGAAAUGCAGUAUCUUCAAAGAGUAAACUUCGGCAAAGUGUUUCUUGAUAACCUUAAAAAAAACAUUUGUGAACCUAAGUUUCUCUUCAGAUAUUCUAGAAAUUAGAGACACCCAUAUACUAAAUGGGUUAAGAUGAUUAAGGUUUUAGAGCUCAGGUCUAUUUUUCACUGAUCAUCUUUUUCUUCUUCAUUUUCUACAUUUAAGCCUGGCUUAUAUCAGAGAAGACAUUCGGCAUUUGGUUUUGGGGGAUUGGCUAACUUAACUUAGCAUUAUAUUCUCCAACUUCAUCCAUUUAUCUGCAAAUGUCAUGAUUUUAUUCUCUUUUAUUAUUGAGUAAUAUUCCAUUGUGUUUAUAUGCCAAUUUUCUUUAUCUAUUCAUUUACUGAUGGGCAUCUAGAUUGGUUCCACAGUUUGGCUAUUGUGAAUUGUGCUGCUAUAAACAUUGAUGUGGCUGUGUCCCUGUAGUAUGCUGUUUUUAAGUCCUUUGGGUAUAGACUGAGGAGUAGGAUAGCUGAGUCAAAUGGUGGUUCCAUUCGAAGUUAUCCAAGGAAUGUCCAUACUGCUUUCCAUAUUGGCUGUACCAAUUUACAGUCCCACAAGCAAUGUAUGAGUGUGCCUGUUUCCCACAUCCUCACCAAAACUUAUUGUUGUUUGUAUUCUUAAUAGCUGCUAUUCUGAUUGGAGUGAGAUGAAAUCUUGAAGUAGUUUUGAUUUGCAAUUCUCUAAUAGCUAUAGAUAUUGAACCUUUUUUCAUAUAUUUGUUGGUGCACCUGGUACAUUGAAGAUAUUCAGUAACUGUUAAUUGUGGAGAAAAUUGUUUAUAAUGAGCUCUAUAGUAAAAAUUAGCAAGUUGAUCUGGAAAGCUCUGUGUGGGUAAAAUAUAUGCUUUGUAACCCUGGAAAUUUUAUACCUGUUUUGCUUCAUUUUUUAAUUGUUUUCCUUUUACAAUUAAUAAUUAGGUGAAGGAUAGGAGGCAUAUUUCCAUAGGGAAUCAUAACAAAAUUUUCAGAGUGGGUUCCUUAAACUAUAUAAGCUGUGUCACUGCCAGUUUAGUAUGCUGCUUCACCUGGCUCAAGGACAAAGGACAACUUCUUUGCCAGUUAAUGAGAGACUUAUAGUUCAGAGUCUAAGAAUUAGACUUAUGUAAUAUUUUGUUUCCGGUUAUUUUUAAUUGGAAAUCUAUUUAACCUUCCAUUCAGGAGUUAGAGGUUAAGCAUCUGGCAGAAAAUGAGAAAUAGCCAAAAUAUCCAGUAGUAAGGGAAUAAAUAAAUAAUGUAUGACAUGCAUAUAAUGGAAUAUUAUGUAUCCACUAAAAUCAGCAAUAGAGGGAGGGUUUCAAGAUAGUGGUUUAGCAUGAGGCAGCAUUUCUCUUAGCUUGGCUACCCAAAACUCAAGGUCUAGGGUGAAAAUUCCUGGUUCUGGAGGGUCAGUCUAUCAGCUGAACCAGAGACUGUUUGACUCAUGAAUCUGAUAUAUUUAAAAAUGGGAAAACCCCUCUCCAUUGGUCCAUGAUCCAGGAGCAAUUUUGGGAUUGCAGCAUGGCCAAGCCUAAGCAAACUGGAAACCCAGAUACAUGAAUUUGUCUUUCCCCAGGGGAAUACAGGUUAGAGGUGGGAGAGAGCCAGACUCUCUCCAGCUCUGUGCCCAGCUCAUGGGGUCUGUCAGGACUGGUUACAGAAGUUGGAGCAGGAAAGUUGGAAGAGGAUGUGAAGGCAUUGUGCCCACAGCUCAGCCAGCCAGCCUAUCCAGUACCUACAGGGCUCCUGGGGCCUGCCCCCACCCCUCAGGGUCCUGAGUCCCACCAGGUUCAGCAUCAGUCCAGCACCAAAUAGGGCCAUCUGCCUCCCUAGUCCCCAGUCCCUCCUGCGCUCCUGACUCGGCCCAUUGCUCACAGCUUCUUGGCUGGCCCACAGAAUGCAAUGCAUAGCCUUGAUCUGCUGGCAUCGAACAGCUGAAUCCCCAACGUGACCAGGCCCAAAAUUUCCCCAUACCCUGAAUAGCUGUCAGAACUUCUCAGCCCAGAGCGCUUCUCACCUGCAACUGUAGGUCCCAGCACUUGCCAGCAAGUUCCCCAGUGCCUGACCUUAUCCAUCCAUGCAGAACAGCUGGGCCCCAUGAGGCCAGGCUCCAACUUGCACCACACACUGCUUAGCUACUGGACCCGCCCACUUCAGUGCACAGCUUUACAACUGCCCACAGGUUCCAGCACAUUCCCACAGGUUCUGGCCACACUUGAUCCUCCCUGUGCUGAUCAGCUGGAUCCCUGACUUAGCUGGCCCCAACUUGCAUCACAAGCCACUUGGCUGGGGAACUCACCAGGUAUAGCGCUCAGCUUCAUAGCUGCCCUCGAAUCCUUGUGCCAGCCUGCAGGUUCCUGCACCUGGCCUUGAUUCACCCACGCAGAAGAGAUAACAACCCUACCUAAUGCUGAGAAGGGAAGCUAACAAACUUUUGAACUUCAAUGGAAACAAUUAUUCAAUAUUUCAUCAAGAUUUUUAAAAAAUUAUCUUUUCUUUUUUCGUCUCACAUUUCUACCAUUUUUGAAAGCAACCAUUUUUCAUGCAUCAGUUUAUUGAGGACUGGGCUGUCUGAAUAGUAUAUUUCAGUUUUGCUUUGAAUUCUUUCUUUUAUACCUUUCUCUUUCUACUUUUAAUUUUUAAAAAAUAUUUAUUAUAUAUGUUUUUUUCCCUCUCAUCUGUUUCCCUUGAUGCCCUUUCUUUCUUUUCUCCUAUCAGCUUUGAUUUUUCCCCUUUUCACUUUUCUUAUAUUUUUUUACUUCUAUCUUCUCUCCUCCUUCCUAAUAAACAUCACAUUCUACACCACUCCUGUUCUCUCUUUGUCCACCAUCUGAAAUUGUAAACCCUUUUGCAAACUUACUAUUUUUAUUGUAGGCAAUAACUGAACACAUCAUUUCUGUUUAUUGCAACAAUAUCGUAGACAUUGUAUAGGGGCUACUUGGUUUAAGGCUAUAUAUUGUUUGCAUUGGUCUCUGUUAUUAUUGUCUCCCCCUUAAAGGCAAGUUACUGGAAACCUUCAGCAAUACUCAAAGUCCACAGGGUAGAAACUUUACUGCUUCAGAUCAACACUGCUGGAUGGUUAGACACAAGCAGCAUGAAAAAACAAGAGAACAAAUUGCCCCAAACAAACCAAGAGUCACCAACAAUAGAAUCCAAUGACCCCACAGUUAAAGAAAUCUCAGAGAAGGAUUCAUAGUUGUACAUAGUUAAACUGAUCUGUUAGGUAAAGAAAAAUGUAAGGAAUGAAAUGAGAGAGAAAAUUCAAGAGGUAAAAGAUCACUUAAGUUAAGAGAUAGAGAUUUUGAAAAGAAAUCAGGCAGAAAUACUCAAAAUGAAGGAAAAAAAUAAACAAAAUUAAAAAGUCAAUGGAAAACAUCACCAACAGAUUAGACCACUUGGAAAGCAGAACCUCAGGCAUUGAAGACAAAAUAUAUAAUCUUGAAAAUAAAGGUGACCACACAGAGAAGAUAUUAAGAAACCAUAAAAAGAACUUCUGAAAAAUAUGGGACAACAUGAAAAGACCAAAAUUAAGAUUUAAUGGAAUGGAUGAAGGUGCAGAGAUACAGACCCAAGGAAUGCACAAUCUUUUCAAUGAAAAAAAAAAUCAGAAAAUUUCCCAAACCUAAAAAAUGAAAUGGAAAAUCAAAUACAAGAUGCUUACAGGACUAUAAAUGUACAAAAUUACAACAGACACACACCAAGUCAUAUGGACAUAUGGUUUGCUCCUACUUCUUGGCUGUGGUGAGUAGUGGUACUAUAACAUGAGUGCCUAGGAGGACUUCUUUAAUCCCUCCACCUUCCUCUUUUUUCUAUAAGGAAUUUAUUUUUGCCACUCUUAAAGGAAUGUGGGUUCUUCCCCACCUUGUUCUCACUUUGCCCAGGCUGCUGCUCUACCCUUCACGGUACACACUGAUAACUUUCAAGGUGAGGCAUGUACAAAUCUGAACACUAUUUGUAUUGCAAUAGACAUAUGCAUUAAUAUCCACUCUUAUACAUAGCUAACUUGUAAAAUUCUAGGGAAGAGUAUUGUCUAAACUGCAUAAAGGUCAGCCUCCAUUUUUCCAGUUUAUUAAAAUUUUAGACACUAAUUUUUAUCACAAAAAUAGAAAGGAGCAAUUUAAAAUUAUGAGGUGAGUCAUUAAGUCAGAUGGUCUUCUAAGGAAGACAAAUGUUUAGGAUCAUCUGCUGCAAUUACUUUUCCAUGUUGUGUGUUAAAAUAGAACAUCUGAUAUAUGAACUGUGUGUGUAUGUGUAUUUAAAGUGCUUGAUUAACAAAUUUCAGUUAUUCAUCAGGUUAAUUAGCAUGACUGAUUUUUUAAACAAAAUUCAUGGUUAACCCAUAUAAUUUUUAGCUAACCAAUUGAUUCCUAGAAGUAUACUGACAGAGCACUAUAAAAUCCAUGCAAGAAAAAUAACCAACUGUAGGAGAGCUAAUGAUUCUUUGUUUGUAUGUGUUUUUCAUUCAAAUGAGUCUAUCUGUAAGUUUUGCAGCCAGUUUAAACUGUGAAAGUUCUUAAGAUGUCUCCAAACUUUCUUGCUUUCAGGAGCUGAUUUUAGUUCUGAUAUUGUUUCAUGUAUUAAGUCUUAUAAAAAGGAGAUAAGCAAAAAUAACAUUUCCUCAAUUAAAAGAUACAUAUUUUUGGUUUAUAAAAGUUGAAUAAAUGCAAGUAUAUAAUCCAUCAUCAUCAUGUUUAAAUUUUUUCAUCAUUCAUGUUUAUUUUUAAAUUUGUACCAAAGUGAUCUCAUUAAAAAGAAAUGGGUUAGAGAUAAUGUAGCAAACUAAUUAUUUACUUCAACAGCAAGAGAGUAAACUCAUGCAUCAGGUAACCACAGAAGACAUUCGACAUUGCAAAAGUCGUCUAGUUGCCUUUUUACCACCAGGUUACUACUAGCCAUAGUAACUUUUGUUUGAUCUUACCCUCAAAACACAUGUGGGAGAUUUGUGGAUUUCCCAUAAAAAUCAGCUUCCACAUAAAAGUUGGAUUCAUUCUAUUAAGUACAAAAUGUUUCCUUUAAGAUUAAAAGCUGAAGUCUGGUCUAACAUGGAGCUUCUUAAUCUGAAUAUCAAAAGGUAUCACCUCUCUUUUAGAACCUUCAGAUAUGGUGUGAUAUUCAGAAUUAAAAAGCAAGUGCAUGACAAAUUUCCAUAUCUCUGGAAAAGAUAAAAGAAUUCCGCUGUGGCAUACUAAGGACAUUUUCUAAAUUAUGUAAUUUCUGGUUUCACUGUAAAGGUGUAAGCUUAUAUCAAAACUGAAAUUAAAAUUCAGAUAGCCUGUGUCAGCAAUCUUGGGUCCUAUCGUCAUAGAAUAAUGGGAGAUAGCUUUAAUUACAUUUUGAUCCAAAAAGAGUGUCUAUCUAGCAACCUUUCAAUGUCUGCUUGAGAAAAACAAUAUUUGCAGACAAAAUCAUCCCUGGCAAAAGCAGGUUUCUUGAAGUUAAGGUCCAGGAAAGAAGGGGCUUUUAUGAAUUGCUCAAUGCUCUAUCCCCAUAAACUAGAACACUAUCUGCUCACAGGAAAUAUUUUUAAAAAGAAUAAAUUUGGGUACAUAGAGCUCACUCCCAGGACAAUCAUAACCCAGUCUCAGUUUUAGUUCCCAUGCAACUCAAAUCUGUCCAUAGCUUUGCAUAUGUACAACUACCAAUAAAAACAGCCUCCUCUCUACCUGGUGUCCUUGCUUCCACUCUGGUCCUUUCUAUGGUGGACAGAUAUAAAAGAUGUCUAUGUUCUCAUCUCCAGAAUUUGUGUAUAAGUUACUCUUAUGAUAAAGAGGUAUUAAGGUUGCGGGUGGAAUUAAUGGUGCUCAUCAGCUGGUCGUGAAAUGGGGGAGAUUAUUUUGUAUUAAAUGGACAAGCCCAAUGCAACCUCAAGUGUCCUUGUGGAAAAUUGAUGCAGAAGAAUUAGUUUCCAAGUAUGUGAGAAAGACUUGUCCAACCAGGUCUGGCUUUGAAGAUGUGAGGGGGCCUUGAGCCAAGGAAUGUGAGUAGCCCCUCGAAUCUGGAAAAUACAAGAAAAUUGUUUCCUAUCCUAAAGACUCCAGAAAGGAAAGCACCAACCUGCUACUUAUUUUGGCCAGUGAGACCUGUUAUGAAGUUUUGAAGAACAGAAUAUUAAAAUAAUAAAUUUAUAUGGCUUACGCCAAUAUGUUUGUGGUAAUUUGUUACAGCAGCCAUAGAACACUAAUAUAGCCUCUAAAUGGAUCUUGUCAGCAAUAGCUUCCCAUCCAGAACUCUUUGUAAAACACUUGAAUGAUUUUGCUAACCCUCUUGAUAUAAAGACCACAUUCUGUAAUGAGCCCUGCCUCACUGCCCUUCCCUGACUUUCUGGUCUUCUUCCAAGCUUACACCAGCCUUUUUGAUGCCAUAUGGUACCUUCUAACACAGGAUCUCUUCAAUUUGCUGGUUCCUGCUUUCCCUUCAAACCUCAGCUGAAAAGUCAUUUUCUCAAGGUGUCUCUGACCUCCAAAACCAGGUCAGCUUUUAAUUAGCUGCUGUGAUAACUCUGGACAAUGAGCCUCUCAGAUGUGUAAUUAGCAAAGGUGAGAUUUCACCUUUGUUUAUGUGAUUCCUUGAUAAAGUCUGUAAUCUUGGUGGAACCCUUCUUCUUCUCUCAUCAUAUUUCCCAUGCUUAUCAUGAUAACUGACACACAGUGGGCACUCAAUACAGUUUUUUUUUUUUGAGUGAAUGGGUGAAGCUGGAUUUCUAAUAGUCUGUGUCUCUGGGUUGUUUGGGGUUAGCCCCUUAGAGAAUUCUCCCUCACUGAAAAGCAUUUCAAUGUUACUCUCUUAUCAAAGGAUACUAUAGAAAAUAGUCCCAUGAAAUCUGUUAGCUGUAUUUCCUGUAGGGCUUUUGGUGAGAUUUUUUUUUCCCUCAUUAUAUUACUCAUUUUUCUUUAUACCAUGUAAUGAAAAAUAAUUUAUUUUUCAUCCUGUUUUGGAAUAACUUUGCUUUCCCAGAGUAAUCUGUUUUUGUUUUGUAGUGGACACGAGGGGAGCUGCCCAAAUCCAUGACCUUCAGGACUAAAGCACACAUAACCCAGCUCCUGGGAGAAUUGAUAGCUGAUGACUUGCAGCUAAAGCCCGUUUCUACCCCGCCCUCCCUUCCCCUCUGUUGAGGGAAUCCACCUGGUCCAACACAACCCCUAGCAGAACAGCCUGCAAUCACAGAGGGCUCAAGCCUCUGUCAUGGGUGAGGAGUAGAAAGGCUGUGUUACCCAAAGGAACAACUCUGCAUAGUUAUUUCAAUUACAGCUCUAACUACAGGGAGCCUUCGUUUUCUCUCCUCAUAGCUCAAUUUACCUCUGUCAGGCUGUUCUUGCUGCCCAAUAGGUGCUAAUCCUGAGAGAAGGAAACUUCCCCAAUCAAAUCUCUGCCUCUGCAUUUUCUUCCUGGAGUGCAUGAUUUAGGACCCCUUCCUUCUCCAAAAUGAGAACUGUGUGAUCAUAUCUCCCUGAUCACAUCCCACCUAGAGGCUAAGAAACCCAGUUAAAGAAGUUUAAAUUGCUUACAUGAUCUACAUAUUCAUAGGUUUGGGCUAACUUAGCUAUUUGCAUACCUGACUGUCCAAAUGAUUUCUCUCUUUUUUUUCACAUUAUAACAUCAUUUUACCAUAUUCUGACUUUAAUGUGCCUCUGAUUCUUUGCAGAAGAAGACGAUUUCAAUGAGCAAAUAAACCAAAUAAAUAGGAAUAUAGAGUCUGUUUGGAAGGUAAAAAUAAACCUCAAAAUACAGAGAUUUAGGUGUACUUAAGAUGUAUUGAAAUUUUUUGCACUAAGAACAGAUAGAUGUGUUCCACUAUUAAGCAUUUCAGUUGAUUUUCCUGCCCCUGGGGUACAACCAUGACUACUGAAGUAAAAACCAGACAGAAAGAAAAGAUGUGCAUGCACUCAUAUUUUCCUUUGAAUUUACUUCCUAAGAAGCAAGCUAGGCGAAUAGAAGAGCUAACUGUGAAAUGGGAAAUUCAGGAGGCAGAUGGUCCAUGGAUUAGUCAAUCCUCCACAUCUUCCCUCUUAGGCGAUUGUCAGAAAAUUGCUUUCAUUAGGAUGGCCUGAUUCCCUGCCACUUCAAGCCAUUCAUCUCCAGAGAAAUGAAGCAGUGUGCAGUCUAAAUUGCUCCUAUAAAGCGGACAUAACUCUUCUUCUCAGUUCCUCAUUUUUCAAACUCUUGUAACCAAAGUUACCAGACACAAAAAUAGCCUGAGGAUUAGAUAACAGAACGUUUCAGUUAUUCAAUUCAUUUACAUGACUCUCAUACGUUUAUCACUUUUGGCAAGCAGAAAACAAAGCUUUGGACACUGUGUUUUGCUGGGAUAAGUGAAUUAUAGGGCCUGCUAACAUUCCUGAUAAACUGCUUCUUGAUCCCAUAUCAAAGAUAUUUAUGUUUUCUGAUUCUAUUUCCUCUUUGAAAUUUCAUUUCAAAAAAUGAAAUCAGAAAUAUGAACUUCCUUGAUAAUGACAAGGGAAGUGCCAGGAUCUCUUCUCUUUUUGCAGUUAAGGUCUUUGAGAACACUAAAUCCCUAGAUAAGAGAAGUCUUUAUGUAACCAGAGGCCUAUUUAUUUAAUAUGAUGCAUUUCCCACCAGCAGAAAACUUCUUGCAGCCAGGAGUCCUUAUAUUUAAUGUAGUCUUCAGAGACCAUAAUAACCCACAUUUACCUGAGUAAUAUGUAAUGUUCUUGCAGAGAUAGAGAGAUUCUAGAGGUUCAUUCAACACUUUACUUACCUGUUUAGUACUCUGUAUUAUGAAUACAAACUAAGAUCCUUUUAUAAAAACAAUAGGAGAUAUGGUUAAAAUCUGUUUUAAGUUGAUUCCCAAGUAUUUUAUUUUUUUGAGGUUAUUGUAAAUGGGGUAGUUUUCCUCAUUUCCUUCUCAGAGGAUUUGUCACUGUUAUACAGAAAUGCCUUUGAUUUAUGGGUGUUGAUUUUAUAUCCUGCUAUUUGCUGAAUUCAUUUACUAGUUCUAGAAGUUUUCUAGUGGAGCUUUUUGGGUCUUCUGGGUAUAGAAUCAUAUAGUCAACAAAUAGUGAUAACUUAAGUUCUUCUUUUCCUAUACAUAUCCCUUUAAUUUCUUUCAUCUGUCUAAUUACUCUGGCCAGUGUUUCAAGAACUAUGUUGAAUAGAAGUGGUGAAAGACAGCUUGUUCCUGUCUUGUUCCAGUUUUUAGAGGGAAUGCCUUUAAUUUUUCCCCAUUUAGAAUGAUGUUGGCCUGAGGCUUAGCAUAGAUAGCCUUUAUGAUGUUGAGAUAUGUUCCUGUUAUCCCUAGUUUUUCUAGUGUUUUGAACAUGUAAAGGUGCUGUAUUUUGUCAAAUGUUUUUUCUGCCUCUAUUGAGAUGAUCAUAUGAUUCUUAUUUUUGAGUCUAUUGAUGUGGUGAAUUACUUUUUUUGAUUUCCAGGUGUUGAAAAAACUUGCAUCCCUCGGAUGAAUCCAACUUGAUCAUGGUGCACUAUCUUUUUGAUAUGUUUUCUUAUUCCAUUUGCCAGAAUUUUAUUGAGAAUUUUUGCAUACAAUGAAAACUACAGAACCCCAAAGAAAAAAAAUCAAAGAAGGCCUUAGAAGAUGGAAAGAUCUAUCUUGCUCUUGGACAGGCAGAAUUAAUAUUAUUAAAAUGACCAUACUACCAAAAGCACUAUACAGAUUUAAUGCAAUUUUGAUCAAAAUCCCAAUGGCAUUCCUCAUAGAAAUAGAAAAAGUGAUCAUGAAAUUCACCUGGAAAAAUAAGAGACCCAGAAUAGCUAAAGCAAUUCUUAGCAGGAAGAAUGAAGCAGGUGGCAUCAGUAUACCAGACCUUAAACUGUACUACAGAGCAAUACUAACAAAAACAGCAUGGUAUUGGCACCAAAACAGACUGGUACACCAAUGGUACAGAAUAGAGGACACAGAAACUAACCCACAAAACUACAAUUAUCUUCUAUUAGACAAAAGUGCCAAAAAUAUGCAUUGGAGAAAAGAUAGCAUCUUCAACAAAUGAUGCAGGGAAAAUUGGAAAUCCAUAUGCAACAAAAUGAAAUUAAACCCCUAUCCCUCAUCAUGCACAAAAUUCAACUCAAAGUGGAUCAAGGACCUAGAAAUUAAACCAGAAAUUCUGUGUCUAAUAGAAGAAAAAGUAGAUCCUAAUCUUCAUCAUGUGGGACUAGGCCCCAACUUCCUUAAUAAGACUUCUAUCGUGCAAGAAUUAAAUCCAAGAAUCAAUAAGUGGGAUGGAUUCAAAUUAAAAAAAUUUCUUCUCAGCCAAAGAAACAAUCUGUGAGGUGAACAGAGAGCCUACAUCUUGGGAGCAAUUUUUUUACUAUUCACAAAAAGCUAAGCACCAAAAAACCAAAUAUCCCAAUCAAUAAAUGGGCCAGGGACCUGAACAGACACUUCUUGGAAGAGGACAUACAAUAAAUCAACAAAUAUAUGAAAAAAUGUUCAUCAUGUCUAGCGAUUAGAGAAAUGCAAAUCAAAACUACUCUAAAUAUCAUCUCACUUCAGUCAGAAUGGCAGCUAUUAUGAAGACAGACAACAAUAAGUGUUGGCAAGGAUGUGGGGUAAGAAGGCACACUCGUACAUUGCUGGUGUGAGUGCAAAUUGGUGCAGCAUUAUGGAAAGUAGUAUAGACAUUCCUUGGAAAUCUGGGAAUGGAACCACCAUUUGACUCUGCUAUCUCUCUCCUCGGUCUAUACUCAAAGGACUUAAAAACAGCAUACUACAUGGACACAGCCACAUCAAUGUUUAUAGCAGCACAAUUCACAAUAGCUAAACUAUGGAGCCAAUCUAGAUGCCCUUCAGUAGAUGAAUGGAUAAAAAAAUAUGGCAUAUAAACACAAUGGAAUUUUACUCAGCAAUAAAAGAGAAUAAAAUCAUGGCAUUUGCAGGUAAAUGGAUGGCUUUGGAGAAGAUAAUGCUAAAUGAAGUUAGCCAAUUCCUAAAAAACCAAAUGCCGAAUGUUUUCUCUGAUAUAAGGAGGCUGAUUCAUAGUGGAGUAGGGAGGGGGCACAUGGGAGGAAUAGACAAACUAACUCUAGAUAGG
rnacentral:lncRNA from 1 species